AAGCUACGGGUUCACGCUUAUGCGUGAGCGGUAGAGGAGCGUCGUAAUCGGGCUGAAGUCGUACCGUAAGGAGCGGUGGACUGAUUACGAGUGAGAAUGUUGGCAUUAGUAGCGAGAUGUAGGCGAGAAUCCUACAGGCCGAAUAUCUAAGGUUUCCUGAGUAAAGUUUGUCUUCUCAGGGUUAGUCGGGACCUAAGGCGAGGCCGAAAGGCGUAGUCGAUGGACAAUUGGUUGAUAUUCCAAUACCACUAUAAUCGUUAUUAUCGAUGGUGUGACGGAGAAGGAUAGGAUGUGCUAGCUAUUGGAUGCUAGUCUAAGCGUUUAGGGAGUUGGGAUUGGCAAAUCCGUUCCAACAAUUCUGAGGCGUGAUGGGGAAGGUUCUACGGAACCGAAGUAUCUGAUUCCAUGCUUCCAAGAAAAGCAUCUAGAGAGAGAAGUAGUGCCCGUACCGCAAACCGACACAGGUAGAUGAGGAGAGAAUCCUAAGGCCGACGGAAGAAUUGCAGUUAAGGAACUAGGCAAAUUGACCCCGUAACUUCGGGAGAAGGGGUGCCUGAG
rnacentral:rRNA from 1 species